UUGCACGCUGGCGGCAGGCCUCACACAUGCAAGUCGAACGGUAACAGGAAGCAGCUUGCUGCUUCGCUGACGAGUGGCGGACGGGUGAGUAAUGUCUGGGAAGCUGCCUGAUGGAGGGGGAUAACUACUGGAAACGGUAGCUAAUACCGCAUAAUGUCGCAAGACCAAAGAGGGGGACCUUCGGGCCUCUUGCCAUCGGAUGUGCCCAGAUGGGAUUAGCUUGUUGGUGGGGUAACGGCUCACCAAGGCGACGAUCCCUAGCUGGUCUGAGAGGAUGACCAGCCACACUGGAACUGAGACACGGUCCAGACUCCUACGGGAGGCAGCAGUGGGGAAUAUUGCACAAUGGGCGCAAGCCUGAUGCAGCCAUGCCGCGUGUAUGAAGAAGGCCUUCGGGUUGUAAAGUACUUUCAGCGGGGAGGAAGGGAGUAAAGUUAAUACCUUUGCUCAUUGACGUUACCCGCAGAAGAAGCACCGGCUAACUCCGUG
rnacentral:rRNA from 1 species